AUUGCUUCUCAGCCUCUUGGCUAAGAUCCAGUGUAGUAUCUGUUCCUAUCAUAAUUGCCCUUGAUACAUAAAAGUUUAUUUUCAAGAAGGAAUUACCAUGGCUUUGUUAUAAGUUCAAUACUAUAAAUGUCAAUGUAGAUUCAUUUUUACUAUGCUCUUAGAUUUCUAGAAAUCCAGGAGGGCGUAUCUAGUU